rnacentral:rRNA from 1 species
UUAACUGGGGUAGUUAUUUCAAUUAAAUUGAAAUUAUUUUUACAGAUUUAAAUAAGUGGAUUUAGUUCUUUUAUAUAAGGAAAAUUAGGUUUAGUUACUUUAGGGAUAACAGCGUUAUAUUUUUGGAGAGAUCUUAUCUAUAAAAAUGAUUGCGACCUCGAUGUUGAAUUAAAAUUACUUUAUAAAGCAGAAUAUAUAAAAGUAGGUUUGUUCAACCUUUAAAUUUUUACAUGAUCAGAGUUCAGACCGGA